rnacentral:lncRNA from 13 species
UCUUUUCUGUGUUUUUCUUGUGAUAGUGAAUAAGUCUCACGAGAUCUGAUGGUUUUAUACAUGGGAGUUCCCCUGCACAGGCUCUCUUGCCUGCCUCCAAGUAAGAUACACCUUCGCUCCUCUUUCACCUUCUGCCAUGAUUGUGAUGCCUCCCCAGCCAUAUGUAACUAGAAAGCAAC